rnacentral:rRNA from 1 species
UAGGGAAUAUUGGACAAUGGGCGCAAGCCUGAUCCAGCCAUGCCGCGUGAGUGAAGAAGGCCCUCGGGUUGUAAAGCUCUUUUGUCCGGAAAGAAAAGCAUCGGGUUAAUACCCCGGUGUUCUGACGGUACCGGAAGAAUAAGCACCGGCUAACUUCGUGCCAGCAGCCGCGGUAAUACGAAGGGUGCAAGCGUUACUCGGAAUUACUGGGCGUAAAGCGUGCGUAGGUGGUUCGUUAAGUCUGAUGUGAAAGCCCUGGGCUCAACCUGGGAAUGGCAUUGGAAACUGGCGGACUGGAGUGCGGUAGAGGGUAGCGGAAUUCCCGGUGUAGCAGUGAAAUGCGUAGAGAUCGGGAGGAACAUCCGUGGCGAAGGCGGCUACCUGGACCAGCACUGACACUGAGGCACGAAAGCGUGGGGAGCAAACA